GCAAGACACACACCUUUUUCUCGGCUGGUCUAGAAAAGCCACUUGAUGGCGCAUUCUCUUCUUUUCAUGUUGGUCUCCUGUCAUUAUGCCCCUCUCCCUCCCCUAAAGCCUGCAAAAUGAAUCUCAGCCAAGCAGGCAUUGAUCCCAAAGGUCACUCUGGUCUUAAGCAGAAACCCUGUUAGCACCCCCCAGUAGCCUUGAACUCCCACCACGGGAAGGGAUCCCCUCUGUCCGGGGUGGCUGGGGAGCAGGGAGGGGUGACACAUUACCUGCCAGGUACUCGAUGACUGCUGCCAUGUAGACGGGAGCACCCACGCUGAUCCGGUACUUGAAUGUCCCUUUCUUCAGGUACCGCAUCAGCCUCCCCACGGGGAAGAUGACGCCGGCCCUGGCUGAACGGGACAGCUUGGACAUUUUCUUCUUCCCGCUCCGGCCCGACAUCUUGCCUCAGUUUCCCUCUCAGCUUGCUGACACGGAGGCCUCCCGGCACUAACACAAUGCUGAAAAGGAAAGACGAAGGCACGUGUAUUAGCAGCAUUCUUGUGCUUGGGAACACUACACAACACAGCACUUCAGGACGGUGCCUCGGGGCCAUUUUGAAUAGUGGAAUCACCAAUGGAAAGCACAAAAGUGUGAAAACCAUGGCGCUAAACAGGCCAAGGAAAGGGCAUGAAUUUAGAGCAUGAGAGAUUAAAGAGGAAGGCCAGCCCUCGGUAGAAUUCAGCUGGGAAGGACUGCCUCUUCUCCACCUCAAGAAAAUACUCUACAGUGUUCACUGAAGAGCCACGGGGGUGAAAUCCAGUUUCGUGGCAAGGGGGCAACACUGGAGUUGGUUAGUAUGGCACGGAAAUUCUGGAAGACCGAUCGAUUUGCAAAUUUAGGGUAUUGGUGGGGGACCCUGUGAAUUAUCGUUUGAUCUAAAAGUUUAUG